rnacentral:rRNA from 1 species
GAUGAACGCUGGCGGCGUGCCUAAUACAUGCAAGUCGAGCGAAGCGGGGACGGGUGAGUAAAACGUGGAUAACCUCCUAUAAGACUGGGAAAAAUUAGGGAAACCGGAGCUAAACCGGCUAGAUAUAGAUGGAUCGGAGCGGCAUUAGCGAGUUGUAAAGGUAACGGCUUACCACGGCAACGAUGCAUAGCCGGCCUGAGAGGGUGAUCUGCCACACUGGAACGUAGACACGGUCCAGACUCCUACGGCAGGCAUCAGUGGGGAAUCUUCCGCAAUGGGCGAAAGCCUGAUGGAGCAAUGCCGCGUGAGUGAUGAAGGUCUUCGGAUCGUAAAACUCUGUUAUUAGGGAGGCGGUACCUACACAGAAAGCCACGGCUAACUACGUGCCAGCAGCCGCGGUAAUUC